GCGAUCGAGCGCGCAUAAAUUCGCGCGAAUUAUCAGCGGGCGCGCGCAUUGUUGGUGUGGCUUCUGAAAACUUUGGUGCCGCAGCGGUAACUCCAUGUCAAGUCGAAUCUCGUGGAUAUUACAUUGACGCUGCAGAUUACCGGGGCCCGAGCCGCCGUUUGCUCAGUACAUAUUACGAGCCACCCUCAUUCUCGACUCUGGCCGCGUGUGGGUACCCUGCGAAACGAGGACUGUUAUCGAGACACGUCGUGAGAUAUACCGUGGAGUGGUCUACGGGAGUGCGCUGCGGAAAGAGGCAGCACAAGUCGCUCGAGCCUUGAUCCCGCUGGUUGGUCUCUGGUUAAGCUCAAACGCGAUAGCAGCUUAUCGAUUCGCGGUUCGCUUUGAAUUUAGCCGAGUUAUCUGACGAGCGUGAGGCAUGCAACGGCUACCGAGUGAUCGGAGCAUCUGUUCGAGUUCCUCAAGUUCUCCAGCAACGUCCCCCGACUCUGCCAGCCUGUCUGUCUAUCUGCGGAGAAGAUCUGUAUGCGCGCACUCGAGCGAUGACACACGUACUCGUCAUACUUGGAAGGCGGUCGCUCAAGUGAUGCUCGAAUUCCCAAUGGGAGACCUCGAAUACCGUUCUCCGAUCCCAGAGAUAUCAUUGCUUUGAAUGCUACCAAAUAUUUUGAUAUAAACGGCACGUCGGAAAAUAACACAAGUCGCUCCGUCGCGUCUAAAAUAUUUUCAUCAAGUCUAUGAGGAAUCAGAAGAAAGAAAUUAAGAAAAAAAAA